AACGAACGCUGGCGGCAGGCCUAACACAUGCAAGUCGAGCGCGCCUUCGGGUGAGCGGCGGCCGGGUGAGUAACGCGUGGGAAUAUGCCCUUCUCUACGGAAUAGUCCUGGGAAACUGGGGGUAAUACCGUAUACGCCCUUUGGGGGAAAGAUUUAUCGGGGAAGGAUUAGCCCGCGUUGGAUUAGGUAGUUGGUGGGGUAAUGGCCUACCAAGCCGACGAUCCAUAGCUGGUUUGAGAGGAUGAUCAGCCACACUGGGACUGAGACACGGCCCAGACUCCUACGGGAGGCAGCAGUGGGGAAUCUUAGACAAUGGGGGCAACCCUGAUCGAGCCAUGCCGCGUGAGUGAUGAAGGCCUUAGGGUUGUAGAGCUCUUUCAGCUGGGAAGAUAAUGACGGUACCAGCAGAAGAAGCCCCGGCUAACUCCGUG
rnacentral:rRNA from 1 species